CCUACGGGAGGCAGCAGUGAGGAAUAUUGGUCAAUGGGCGCGAGCCUGAACCAGCCAAGUCGCGUGAGGGAAGACGGUCCUAUGGAUUGUAAACCUCUUUUGUCGGGGAGCAAAAGACGCCACGCGUGGCGUUCCGAGAGUACCCGUCGAAAAAGCACCGGCAAACUCCGUGCCAGCAGCCGCGGUAAUACGGAGGAUGCGAGCGUUAUCCGGAUUUAUGGGGGUUAAGGGGUGCGCAGGCGGAAGAUCAAGUCAGCGGUAAAAUUGAGGGGCUCAACCUCUCCGUGCCGUUGAAACUGGUUUUCUUGAGUGAGUGAGAGGUAGGCGGAAUGCGUGGUGUAGCGGUGAAAUGCAUAGAUAUCACGCAGAACUCCGAUUGCGAAGGCAGCAUACCGGAGCUCAACUGACGCUCAUGCACGAAAGUGUGGGUAUCGAACAGGAUUAGAUACCCGGGUAGUC
rnacentral:rRNA from 1 species